rnacentral:rRNA from 1 species
GAUUAGAUACCCUGGUAGUCCACACCGUAAACGCUGUCUACUAGCUGUUUGUGGAUAUUAUCCGUGAGUAGCGAAGCUAACGCGCUAAGUAGACCGCCUGGGGAGUACGGCCGCAAGGUUAAAACUCAAAGGAAUUGACGGGGGCUCACACAAGCGGUGGAGGAUGUGGCUUAAUUCGAGGCAACGCGAAGAACCUUAUCCCGGACUUGACAUCUAUGGAUUAGCAUUGUGAAAGCAGUGUGACGCCUUCGGGUGGAACAUAGACAGGUGCUGCAUGGCUGUCGUCAGCUCGUGCCG